GAAUCCGGGAGGACCACCUCCCAAGGCUAAAUACUUCCUGGCGACCGAUAGUGAACUAGUACCGUGAGGGAAAGGUGAAAAGCACCCCGGGAGGGGAGUGAAAUAGAACCUGAAACCGUGCUGCCUACAAGCAGUGGGAGGGCUAUGGCAUUGCCAGCCUGACCGCGUACUUUUUGUAGAACGGACCGGCGAGUUAUGGUGUGUGGCGAGGUUAAGCCUAGAGGGUGGAGCCGUAGCGAAAGCGAGUCUUAAUAGGGCGACAAGUCACAUGCUGUAGACCCGAAACCGGGCGAUCUAUCCAUGGACAGGGUGAAGCGGGAGUAACGUUCCGUGGAGGCCCGAACCACACUGGUGUUGAAAAACCAGGGGAUGAGCUGUGGAUAGGGGUGAAAAGCCAAUCGAGCUCGGAGAUAGCUGGUUCUCCCCGAAAUAGCUUUAGGGCUAGCCUCGGAGGUUAGUUUGCGGAGGUAGAGCACUGAUUGGGCUAGGGGCCCUGAAAGGUUACUGACCCCUUUCAAACUCCGAAUGCCGCAAAGUGAGACUCCGGGAGUCAGACUGUGGGGGCUAAGCUCCAUAGUCGAGAGGGAAACAGCCCAGACCGCCAGCUAAGGUCCCUAAUUGACGUCUAAGUGGCGAAGGAUGUGGAACUGCCCAGACAACCAGGAUGUUGGCUUAGAAGCAGCCAUACAUUUAAAGAGUGCGUAAUAGCUCACUGGUCGAGUGGGGCUGCGCCGAAAAUGUCCGGGGCUUAAGUCGUCAACCGAAGCUGCGGAACUCAUUAAAUUGGGUUGGUAGGGGAGCGUUGCCUGCUGGUAGAAGCAUGACCGAAAGGACGUGUGGACGGCAGGGAAGUGAGAAUGCCGGUAUGAGUAGCGAAAAGGCAGGUGAGAAUCCUGCCCGCCGAAAGCCUAAGGUUUCCUGAGGAAGGUUCGUCCUCUCAGGGUAAGCCGGGACCUAAGCCGAGGCCGAAGGGCGUAGGCGAUGGACAACUGGUUGAAAUUCCAGUGCUGCCUCGAUCACGAUUGAGGGAUGUGGGGACGCAGAAGGGUAGGUACAGCAGGCUGAUGGAAUAGCCUGUCCAAGCGAGUAGGGUGCCAGGUAGGCAAAUCCGCCUGGCGUAAAGCCUGAGACGCGAUGGGGUGCGGAUACGUCCGCUGAACUGGCCGAUCCCCCGCUGACGAGAAAAGCCGCUACCGAGUGAUCAGGCACCCGUACCGCAAACCGACACAGGUAGGCGGGGUGAGAAUCCUAAGGCGCGCGAGAGAACCCUCGUUAAGGAACUCGGCAAAAUGACCCCGUAACUUUGGGAGAAGGGGUGCCCCGUCAGGGUGGAAGGCUUCGCGCCUCGAGCCCGAGGGGGUCGCAGAGAAACGGCCCGAGCGACUGUUUACCAAAAACACAGGUCUCUGCUAAGUCGAAAGACGAAGUAUAGGGGCUGACGCCUGCCCAGUGCCGGAAGGUUAAGGGGAGGGCUUAGCGUAAGCAAAGGUCUGAACCGAAGCCCCGGUGAACGGCGGCCGUAACUAUAACGGUCCUAAGGUAGCGAAAUUCCUUGUCGGGUAAGUUCCGACCUGCACGAAUGGCGCAACGACUUGGGCGCUGUCUCAACGAGGGACUCGGCGAAAUUGUAAGUGCCCGUGAAGAUACGGGCUACCCACGACAAGACGGAAAGACCCCAUGGAGCUUUACUGUAGCCUGAGAUUGGAUCUUGGCAAAGCAUGUACAGGAUAGGUGGGAGGCAUGGAAGCCUGGGCGCUAGUCCAGGUGGAGCCGACGUUGGGAUACCACCCUUGUUUUGCUGGGUUUCUAACCCAAGACCGUGAUCCGGCCGGGGGACAUUCUCUGGUGGGCAGUUUGACUGGGGCGGUCGCCUCCCAAAAGGUAACGGAGGCGCCCAAAGGUUCCCUCAGCGCGGUUGGAACUCGCGCGCAGAGUGUAAAGGCAGAAGGGAGCUUGACUGCGAGAGGUACAUCUCGAGCAGGGACGAAAGUCGGGCUUAGUGAUCAGGUGGUUCCGAGUGGAAGGGCCAUCGCUUAACGGAUAAAAGCUACCCUGGGGAUAACAGGCUUAUCUCUCCCAAGAGUCCAUAUCGACGGGGAGGUUUGGCACCUCGAUGUCGGCUCAUCGCAUCCUGGGGCUGAAGUAGGUCCCAAGGGUUGGGCUGUUCGCCCAUUAAAGCGGUACGCG
rnacentral:rRNA from 1 species